GACCAUCCUCCAAGGCUAAAUACUCCUGACUGACCGAUAGUGAACCAGUACCGUGAGGGAAAGGCGAAAAGAACCCCGGCGAGGGGAGUGAAAAAGAACCUGAAACCGUGUACGUACAAGCAGUGGGAGCACCCUUUGGGGUGUGACUGCGUACCUUUUGUAUAAUGGGUCAGCGACUUAUAUUCUGUAGCAAGGUUAACCGAAUAGGGGAGCCGGAGGGAAACCGAGUCUUAAUUGGGCGUUAAGUUGCAGGGUAUAGACCCGAAACCCGGUGAUCUAGCCAUGGGCAGGUUGAAGGUUGGGUAACACUAACUGGAGGACCGAACCGACUAAUGUUGAAAAAUUAGCGGAUGACCUGUGGCUGGGGGUGAAAGGCCAAUCAAACCGGGAGAUAGCUGGUUCUCCCCGAAAGCUAUUUAGGUAGCGCCUCGUGAAUUCAUCUCCGGGGGUAGAGCACUGUUUCGGCUAGGGGGCCAUCCCGGCUUACCAACCCGAUGCAAACUGCGAAUACCGGAGAAUGUUAUCACGGGAGACACACGGCGGGUGCUAACGUCCGUCGUGAAGAGGGAAACAACCCAGACCGCCAGCUAAGGUCCCAAAGUCAUGGUUAAGUGGGAAACGAUGUGGGAAGGCCCAGACAGCCAGGAUGUUGGCUUAGAAGCAGCCAUCAUUUAAAGAAAGCGUAAUAGCUCACUGGUCGAGUCGGCCUGCGCGGAAGAUGUAACGGGGCUAAACCAUGCACCGAAGCUGCGGCAGCGACACUCAGGUGUCGUUGGGUAGGGGAGCGUUCUGUAAGCCUGCGAAGGUGGCCUGUGAGGGUUGCUGGAGGUAUCAGAAGUGCGAAUGCUGACAUAAGUAACGAUAAAGCGGGUGAAAAGCCCGCUCGCCGGAAGACCAAGGGUUCCUGUCCAACGUUAAUCGGGGCAGGGUGAGUCGACCCCUAAGGCGAGGCCGAAAGGCGUAGUCGAUGGGAAACGGGUUAAUAUUCCCGUACUUGGUGUUACUGCGAAGGGGGGACGGAGAAGGCUAUGUUGGCCGGGCGACGGUUGUCCCGGUUUAAGCGUGUAGGUGUGUGUUCCAGGUAAAUCCGGUUCACUUUAACACUGAGGCGUGACGACGAGGCACUACGGUGCUGAAGCAACAAAUGCCCUGCUUCCAGGAAAAGCCUCUAAGCAUCAGGUAACAUCAAAUCGUACCCCAAACCGACACAGGUGGUCAGGUAGAGAAUACCAAGGCGCUUGAGAGAACUCGGGUGAAGGAACUAGGCAAAAUGGUGCCGUAACUUCGGGAGAAGGCACGCUGACACGUAGGUGAAGUGAUUUACUCAUGGAGCUGAAGUCAGUCGAAGAUACCAGCUGGCUGCAACUGUUUAUUAAAAACACAGCACUGUGCAAACACGAAAGUGGACGUAUACGGUGUGACGCCUGCCCGGUGCCGGAAGGUUAAUUGAUGGGGUCAGCGCAAGCGAAGCUCCUGAUCGAAGCCCCGGUAAACGGCGGCCGUAACUAUAACGGUCCUAAGGUAGCGAAAUUCCUUGUCGGGUAAGUUCCGACCUGCACGAAUGGCGUAAUGAUGGCCAGGCUGUCUCCACCCGAGACUCAGUGAAAUUGAACUCGCUGUGAAGAUGCAGUGUACCCGCGGCAAGACGGAAAGACCCCGUGAACCUUUACUAUAGCUUGACACUGAACAUUGAGCCUUGAUGUGUAGGAUAGGUGGGAGGCUUUGAAGUGUGGACGCCAGUCUGCAUGGAGCCGGCCUUGAAAUACCACCCUUUAAUGUUUGAUGUUCUAACGUGGACCCGUGAUCCGGGUUGCGGACAGUGUCUGGUGGGUAGUUUGACUGGGGCGGUCUCCUCCUAAAGAGUAACGGAGGAGCACGAAGGUUGGCUAAUCCUGGUCGGACAUCAGGAGGUUAGUGCAAUGGCAUAAGCCAGCUUGACUGCGAGCGUGACGGCGCGAGCAGGUGCGAAAGCAGGUCAUAGUGAUCCGGUGGUUCUGAAUGGAAGGGCCAUCGCUCAACGGAUAAAAGGUACUCCGGGGAUAACAGGCUGAUACCGCCCAAGAGUUCAUAUCGACGGCGGUGUUUGGCACCUCGAUGUCGGCUCAUCACAUCCUGGGGCUGAAGUAGGUCCCAAGGGUAUGGCUGUUCGCCAUUUAAAGUGGUACGCGAGCUGGGUUUAGAACGUCGUGAGACAGUUCGGUCCCUAUCUGCCGUGGGCGCUGGAGAACUGAGGGGGGCUGCUCCUAGUACGAGAGGACCGGAGUGGACGCAUCACUGGUGUUCGGGUUGUCAUGCCAAUGGCACUGCCCGGUAGCUAAAUGCGGAAGAGAUAAGUGCUGAAAGCAUCUAAGCACGAAACUUGCCCCGAGAUGAGUUCUCCCUGAGACUU
rnacentral:rRNA from 1 species